GGGCUUGUAGCUCAGUUGGGAGAGCGCUUGAAUGGCAUUCAAGAGGCCAAGGGUUCGAUUCCCUUCAGGUCCACCA
rnacentral:tRNA from 1 species